AUUCCAGCUCCAAUAGCGUAUAUUAAAGUUGUUGCGGUAAAAAAGCUCGUAGUUGGAUUUCUGUGGAGAACAACUGGUCCAUGCCAUGUAUGCGUAUCUAGCUUGGUCUCUGCAUCCUUUCGAAAUGCUGUUCUGCGCUUGAUUGCGUGGUCAGUGGUUCGGAACUUUUACUUUGAGGAAAUUAGAGUGUUCACGGCAGGCUAUCGCCCGAAUACGUUAGCAUGGAAUAAUAAUAUAGGACUUCGGUUCUAUUUUGUUGGUUUCUAGAGCUGAAGUAAUGAUUAAUAGGGACAAUUGGGGGCAUUCGUAUCAACACGUCAGAGGUGGAAUUCUUGGAUUGUGUUGCGACGAACUACUGCGAAAGCAUUUGCCAAGGAUGUUUUCAUCA
rnacentral:rRNA from 1 species